GGAAUAUUGGACAAUGGGCGAAAGCCUGAUCCAGCCAUGCCGCGUGUGUGAAGAAGGUCUUCGGAUUGUAAAGCACUUUAAGUUGGGAGGAAGGGCAGUAACUUAAUACGUUGCUGUUUUGACGUUACCGACAGAAUAAGCACCGGCUAACUCUGUGCCAGCAGCCGCGGUAAUACAGAGGGUGCAAGCGUUAAUCGGAAUUACUGGGCGUAAAGCGCGCGUAGGUGGUUUGUUAAGUUGGAUGUGAAAUCCCCGGGCUCAACCUGGGAACUGCAUUCAAAACUGACAAGCUAGAGUAUGGUAGAGGGUGGUGGAAUUUCCUGUGUAGCGGUGAAAUGCGUAGAUAUAGGAAGGAACACCAGUGGCGAAGGCGACCACCUGGACUGAUACUGACACUGAGGUGCGAAAGCGUGGGGAGCAAACAGGAUUAGAUACCCGAG
rnacentral:rRNA from 1 species